rnacentral:rRNA from 1 species
AGCAGCAGUGGGGAUAUUGCACAAUGGGGGAAACCCUGAUGCAGCCAUGCCGCGUGUGUGAAGAAGGCCUUCGGGUUGUAAAGCACUUUCAGUAGGGAGGAAAGGUAGCAGCUUAAUACGCUGUUGCUGUGACGUUACCUACAGAAGAAGGACCGGCUAACUCCGUGCCAGCAGCCGCGGUAAUACGGAGGGUCCGAGCGUUAAUCGGAAUUACUGGGCGUAAAGCGUGCGCAGGCGGUUUGUUAAGCGAGAUGUGAAAGCCCCGGGCUCAACCUGGGAAUUGCAUUUCGAACUGGCGAACUAGAGUCUUGUAGAGGGGGGUAGAAUUCCAGGUGUAGCGGUGAAAUGCGUAGAGAUCUGGAGGAAUACCGGUGGCGAAGGCGGCCCCCUGGACAAAGACUGACGCUCAGGCACGAAAGCGUGGGGAGCAAACAGGAUUAGAUACCCUGGUAGUCCACGCCGUAAACGAUGUCUACUCGGAGUUUGGUGUCUUGAACACUGGGCUCUCAAGCUAACGCAUUAAGUAGACCGCCUGGGGAGUACGGCCGCAAGGUUAAAACUCAAAUGAAUUGACGGGGCCGCCCCC